rnacentral:rRNA from 1 species
ACGAACGCUGGCGGCGUGCUUAACACAUGCAAGUCGAACGGAAAGGCCCUGCUUUUGUGGGGUGCUCGAGUGGCGAACGGGUGAGUAACACGUGAGUAACCUGCCCUUGACUUUGGGAUAACUUCAGGAAACUGGGGCUAAUACCGGAUAGGAGCUCCUGCUGCAUGGUGGGGGUUGGAAAGUUUCGGCGGUUGGGGAUCGACUCGCGGCUUAUCAGCUUGUUGGUGGGGUAGUGGCUUACCAAGGCUUUGACGGGUAGCCGGCCUGAGAGGGUGACCGGCCACAUUGGGACUGAGAUACGGCCCAGACUCCUACGGGAGGCAGCAGUGGGGAAUAUUGCACAAUGGGCGGAAGCCUGAUGCAGCAACGCCGCGUGCGGGAUGACGGCCUUCGGGUUGUAAACCGCUUUCGCCUGUGACGAAGCGUGAGUGACGGUAAUGGGUAAAGAAGCACCGGCUAACUACGUG